GCAGUCGAGGGGUAUAGUAGCAAUACUAGAGACCGGCGCACGGGUGCGUAACGCGUAUGCAAUCUGCCUUUCACAGAGGGAUAGCCCAGAGAAAUUUGGAUUAAUACCUCAUAGUAUAAUGAGUUGGCAUCAACCCAUUAUUAAAGUCACAACGGUGAAAGAUGAGCAUGCGUCCCAUUAGCUAGUUGGUAAGGUAACGGCUUACCAAGGCGACGAUGGGUAGGGGUCCUGAGAGGGAGAUCCCCCACACUGGUACUGAGACACGGACCAGACUCCUACGGGAGGCAGCAGUGAGGAAUAUUGGUCAAUGGGCGCAAGCCUGAACCAGCCAUGCCGCGUGCAGGAUGACGGUCCUAUGGAUUGUAAACUGCUUUUGUACGGGAAGAAACAGCGAUUCGUGAAUCGCCUUGACGGUACCGUAAGAAUAAGGAUCGGCUAACUCCGUGCCAGCAGCCGCGGUAAUACGGAGGAUCCAAGCGUUAUCCGGAAUCAUUGGGUUUAAAGGGUCCGUAGGCGGUUUUGUAAGUCAGUGGUGAAAGCCCAUCGCUCAACGGUGGAACGGCCAUUGAUACUGCAAGACUUGAAUUAUUAGGAAGUAACUAGAAUAUGUAGUGUAGCGGUGAAAUGCUUAGAGAUUACAUGGAAUACCAAUUGCGAAGGCAGGUUACUACUAAUGGAUUGACGCUGAUGGACGAAAGCGUGGGUAGCGAACAGGAUUAGAUACCCUGGUAGUCCACGCCGUAAACGAUGGAUACUAGCUGUUGGGAGCGAUCUCAGUGGCUAAGCGAAAG
rnacentral:rRNA from 1 species